GUAACUGCUGGUUGUAAAUGGUUGUGGUCUGUCUCUAGCUAGAGCGCUUAGAUUGCUACAUUGUUUACGUUGCAGUGUACAGUUUGGAGCUUUAACGAAGUCGGAAACGAACAAAAUGAUGGUGUCCUCACUUGUCGCUAGUUUUCCGAUGAGGAGAAGUGAUGACGAAGAUGAAGAUGUAGUUUCUGCUGCAGUAGUUGCCUACCUACACUGGAAGUGCUGCCUUCGUCGCUGUCAGGCGGGUGUAUUGUUUGACAGCGUUUCGAACACGCAGCUGCAGGCCUUUGCAUGGCUCUGCAAAGGCCAUGACAUUGGUGCAAGCAAAUGAUAUCACGUAGACAAUCUCAGCAACAAGGCAAACCUAGACAUGAAACUAACAUCAGUCAGAUUGAUUUUGAUAGUGACAUUGUCUAUGUUGAGAUUAUGUUGCAUUUUGUGAAAAAUU